rnacentral:misc_RNA from 1 species
GAAAUGCGAUAAGUAGUGUGAAUUGCAGAAUUUAGCGAAUCAUCGAAUCUUUGAACGCACAUUGCGCCCCUUGGUAUUCCAUGGGGCAUGCCUGUUCGAGCGUCAUUUCAACCCUCAAGCACUGCUUGGUGUUGGGCGUUUGUCCCGCCUACGCGCGUGGACUCGCCUCAAAGUCAUUGGCAGCUGUUCCCCUUCGGCUCGUAAGCGCAGCACAGUCGGCGCCCGGAGCUCUGGUGGGAUGGCGUCCAGCAAGCUAUAUUUUCAGGCUUGACCUCGGAUCAGGUAGGGAUACCCGCUGAACCUAAGC